rnacentral:lncRNA from 1 species
AUGUUCCCUUCUUGAUUUCUUUGUAUCCUUUUUCUUAUGUUAUACUGAUAAAUAUUGUUCUUGCUUGAGUCGAAAGUUGCAGAUUCUAUGUAGUAUAACUUAUGAUUAAUAUACCCAAAGGAAAUAUAAAAGACACAUUAAUUAUGAGAUUUUUAUUGAGUCAUAGUAGAAAGGGGGGGACUGGCAAAAACAUUUUUACCUUAACUUCAGUUUUAGAUUUUGAUGCAAUUUCUAUAUUAUCGACAUCGGACAUCGAAAGCCCUGGAGAAUAAGUGCAAACAUCAAGUUGUUUCUUAGAUGUCGAUUUGAAGAAACUAGGAUUCUCAGGUCUCUCUCUCUCUCUCUCUCUCUCUCUCUCUCUCUCUCUCUCUCAAGUGUAUGAUUUUUCAUUUUUCAAUAUAGUCUUGUGUUUAAAUAUUUAAGGCAGGCAUGUCUUCAUAAAACUAGAAAGCAAGAAAGAAUUAGACUGUCUCAUUUUUCUAUAUAGGAACAUGAAAGUAUUUUUGUGGAUCUAGAUCCCCUAAAAUUAGAAUCAUGCAUUUGCCGAAGUUGUGCAAUCUAGACCAUUAGAUUUAGGUCAAAUGGUUCAUGUUCCGACUUUGUAAAUCAAACUCAGAAUACAAAGUCAGAACGUGUUUCAUCCAUCUUUAUCGGAUAGUAUGCAUUGCUUUAUUGCAGAUUUCCUGAUUGCAAGGAAUCUAAAUCCCUGUGUUAAGUGUGCAUGAAAUUAAUGAUUGUAUUUCAUACUAUUCGUCAACUAAAUAGAUGCAGUGUUUGAAAAAUUGGAUCAAAGAUCGAACUAGUAAGACUUUUGGGCUAUGAUUUAAUUGGUCCAAUGAGAUGACAAAUAAAUAAACAAAAUGUGAAAAGUAUUAAAAAUAAUAAAUAAAUGAAAAAAAUGAAAACCGGUUGAACCAAUUCAAGCUCGGUGGUGCAAUCCGGUUCAGUCUGGUUUUCAAAUAUAUUUUACUCGUGCUGAUUUCUGUCAAUAAUAUAGUUUGUUUAUGAUAUGUCACUUUUCUGCAUUUCAAAUGUCAAAAUGUGAAAUCACACAAAGCUUAAUAACAUGUGAAAUUAUUGAUGCAGCCAUUAAAUCUCAACCAUGCUGACCAAGACAAUGAAGUUGAAAUGGACUCUUGUGACUGAUAACAGCUGAUAUGACCUUUUAAGCAGAAAUUAAAGGGAUGUGGUCUUUGAUUGAAGACCAGAAAUCUUGUAUCAGAUUGACAAUAAAAUUUUGAAUUACCCUUCAAUUUUCUAACCUGAAUUUUCAUUCUUACUUGUUUAGGCUAUUUAUCACUAUAUGAAUCUGGAUUAAGUGCGGGCACUGCUACAUGCAGUCGGCUGCAAUCAGUAUUGUCCGAUCAAGAUCAUACGGUUCCUAUUUAAAGACAGUUUUUAAUUUUUGUUUGAUUUUAAAUUUUGAUUUGUUUAGGUUCUCAUUAUAUCCGGUGGUUUUAAAUU